GGGCCAAUCAGAACCUGCCGGGGGGUCUCUAUGCUGACCGGAAGUGGGUCUGUUACCCGGGGGCCAUCUUGCCGCUCGAGGUGCCGAGCCUUAGAGACGCGGGUCCCCGGGGGUCGAGGAAGGGGAGGCAGCUGUCGGUCACCGAGCUCCCGGGCGCAGGCCAGCCCGAGACCAGGCCCUAGAACCUUCCAGAUGCCGGUGUAUGUAUCGGGCCGCGGAGGUUGGGUCUCCCGCGGCUGGGCAUCAUCGCGCAUGCGCGGCCGGGCCAUGGCUGCCGCUCCGCAGAAUCUCUCCCUGCCCGGCCCGUCAGCACCCGGCUCCGACCGGAGCGUGUUCGAAACUUCCACCAACAGAAAGGAGGUGGGAUGCAAACCGUCUGGAAUGGGGCUGAAAAUCCUGACAAAGACCAAGGACUUUGUGAAGUUGAUGAAAAUGCUGUUGGAGAGUUUCUGGGAUCAUGUGGAAAGCCCUGAGCCUCUGGCCAACUUAGAUCAGAUAAGGAUCAAAAGAAACAAAAUCGACAAAAAUGUUGACUUGUAGGAGUUCAAAGGAGAAUGAUUCAAAUAUCAAAUAGUUGAAACCUCACAUGUUUUUAAAAAGAAUGAUAUUUUUGUGAUCACCCUGUAGAAGUCGUAAGCUAAGGGGGCCGCAGCAUGUCAUCAUGCGCUUCGGCCAGAAAAGCCUUCUUCUCCCUAAAACUAAGACAGUUAGG
rnacentral:lncRNA from 1 species